rnacentral:RNase_P_RNA from 1 species
CCAGUCGGCUGGGCGACCGCUGCCGGUUUGUGGGACUUUGCGGUCCAGCACGCCGGUGGAGGAAAGUCCGGGCUCCAAGGAUCGACGGUGACGGCUAACGGCCGCCGGGGGUGACCCCAGGGAAAGUGCCACAGAAAACAGACCGCCCGCGUCCGCGCGGGUAAGGGUGAAAAGGUGCGGUAAGAGCGCACCGCGCUCCCGGCAACGGCGAGCGGCAUGGCAAACCCCACCGGGAGCAAGACCGAAUAGGGGCGGCAUGGAUGCGGCGGGCAACCGCGGCAUCCGGGCAGAUCCUGGCUGCCGCCCGGGUUGGUUGCUCGAGGCGCGGAGUAAUCCGCGUCCCAGAUGAAUGGUCGCCGCGGAGGUCGCACCUCCAGACAGAACCCGGCUUACAGGCCGACUGGCAAU